rnacentral:rRNA from 1 species
CCUACGGGAGGCAGCAGUGAGGAAUAUUGGUCAAUGGGCGCGAGCCUGAACCAGCCAAGUCGCGUGAGGGAAGACGGUCCUAUGGAUUGUAAACCUCUUUUGUAGGGGAGUAAAAGAAGCCACGUGUGCCGUUCCGAGUGUACUCGAAGAAAAAGGAUCGGCUAACUCCGUGCCAGCAGCCGCGGUAAUACGGAGGAUGCGAGCGUUAUCCGGAUUUAUUGGGUUUAAAGGGUGCGCAGGCGGAAGAUAAAGUCAUCGGGAAAAUUGGGAGGCUCAACCUAUUCGUGGCGUUGAUACUGGUUUUCUUGAGUGAGGUGGAGGUAGGCGGAAUGCGUGGUGUAGCGGUGAAAUGCAUAGAUAUCACGCAGAACUCCGAUUGCGAAGGCAGCAUACCGGCGCUCAACUGACGCUGAUGCACGAAAGUGUGGGUAUCGAACAGGAUUAGAUACCCGGGUAGUC